UCCUCGAUGCGUAAAAGUGAACUCAAAUUUGUAUGGAGUUGGAACGUUUGCGUACGUUUGCCGCUAGGGGCGCUGUACCAAUUGCAUACAAAUUUGAGUGAACUUUUUCGCGAUCGA
rnacentral:pre_miRNA from 9 species